AGUGAACGCUGGCGGUAGGCCUAACACAUGCAAGUCGAACGGCAGCACAGUAAGAGCUUGCUCUUACGGGUGGCGAGUGGCGGACGGGUGAGGAAUACAUCGGAAUCUACUUUUUCGUGGGGGAUAACGUAGGGAAACUUACGCUAAUACCGCAUACGACCUACGGGUGAAAGCAAGGGAUCUUCGGACCUUGCGCGAUUGAAUGAGCCGAUGUCGGAUUAGCUAGUUGGCGGGGUAAAGGCCCACCAAGGCGACGAUCCGUAGCUGGUCUGAGAGGAUGAUCAGCCACACUGGAACUGAGACACGGUCCAGACUCCUACGGGAGGCAGCAGUGGGGAAUAUUGGACAAUGGGCGCAAGCCUGAUCCAGCCAUACCGCGUGGGUGAAGAAGGCCUUCGGGUUGUAAAGCCCUUUUGUUGGGAAAGAAAAGCAGCAGGUUAAUACCCCGCUGUUCUGACGGUACCCAAAAAUAAGCACCGGCUAACUUCGUG
rnacentral:rRNA from 1 species